GAACGCUGGCGGCGUGCCUAAUACAUGCAAGUCGAGCGAACAGACGAGGAGCUUGCUCCUCUGACGUUAGCGGCGGACGGGUGAGUAACACGUGGAUAACCUACCUAUAAGACUGGGAUAACUUCGGGAAACCGGAGCUAAUACCGGAUAAUAUAUUGAACCGCAUGGUUCAAUAGUGAAAGACGGUUUUGCUGUCACUUAUAGAUGGAUCCGCGCCGCAUUAGCUAGUUGGUAAGGUAACGGCUUACCAAGGCAACGAUGCGUAGCCGACCUGAGAGGGUGAUCGGCCACACUGGAACUGAGACACGGUCCAGACUCCUACGGGAGGCAGCAGUAGGGAAUCUUCCGCAAUGGGCGAAAGCCUGACGGAGCAACGCCGCGUGAAUGAUGAAGGUCUUCGGAUCGUAAAACUCUGUUAUUAGGGAAGAACAAAUGUGUAAGUAACUAUGCACGUCUUGACGGUACCUAAUCAGAAAGCCACGGCUAACUACGUGCCAGCAGCCGCGGUAAUACGUAGGUGGCAAGCGUUAUCCGGAAUUAUUGGGCGUAAAGCGCGCGUAGGCGGUUUUUUAAGUCUGAUGUGAAAGCCCACGGCUCAACCGUGGAGGGUCAUUGGAAACUGGAAAACUUGAGUGCAGAAGAGGAAAGUGGAAUUCCAUGUGUAGCGGUGAAAUGCGCAGAGAUAUGGAGGAACACCAGUGGCGAAGGCGACUUUCUGGUCUGUAACUGACGCUGAUGUGCGAAAGCGUGGGGAUCAAACAGGAUUAGAUACCCUGGUAGUCCACGCCGUAAACGAUGAGUGCUAAGUGUUAGGGGGUUUCCGCCCCUUAGUGCUGCAGCUAACGCAUUAAGCACUCCGCCUGGGGAGUACGACCGCAAGGUG
rnacentral:rRNA from 1 species